rnacentral:rRNA from 1 species
ACUCCUACGGGAGGCAGCAGUGGGGAAUAUUGCACAAUGGGCGAAAGCCUGAUGCAGCCAUGCCGCGUGUAUGAAGAAGGCCUUCGGGUUGUAAAGUACUUUCAGUCGUGAGGAAGGGUGUGUAGUUAAUAGCUGCAUAUCUUGACGUUAGCGACAGAAGAAGCACCGGCUAACUCCGUGCCAGCAGCCGCGGUAAUACA